rnacentral:lncRNA from 1 species
UUUCUUGCCACUGUCAGGCUUACUCCUGCCUCCUAGACUGAGGAAAGAAAAGCCUCCUGGUUUGGAGCUCAUAAUCAAGUCAGCCUUGCUGCAGGGCUCAUUUUAAGCCAGUAUCCUGGACCAGAUAAGGAAGCUGAAGCUUUGAGAAUUUAAUUUGCUCAAGGGGAGGCCAGGACAAGAAAUAAUGAAGAGUCCGAUGUGGCAGGAAUGUAGGAAACAAGUCAAUGAUGGAAGAUAAAUAUGGAGACGUGAUGAAGGCAAAAUUCUGAAGGGUCUUAGAGCCCAUUAUAAGACGUUUGGUUUUUAUGAAUAUUUCACUGAUUGCCUUGCCCGCUUCUCAAAGGCCCACUUCUCUGUGGAAUGAUGCAGUUGCUAAGAAGAGCUGUUAAUGUCAUGACCUCAAUGAAUAAAAAAGACUUCCUUUUCUCCAUGCCCACUCAAGUAAAAGGCUUCUCUCUGAACUCCUGCUAAUUUUUCAUCAGCAAAGGUGCACAGCCUUUUGGAAGUGAAAUGAUUACUAGUGAAGAAAAAGAAAGAACCUAACACUUAUUUUACAAGCCUCCCAGUGACCACUCUUCAGACAAAACUUCUUAUAAUAGCUUCCUUCCCUGAAUCUUUUGCGAAACAUCAAAUCACAAAGAGAUCUUAUUAUGCCAUUAAGAAUAUUUAAUUCAUGGGAGGAGGUCAAAAUAUCAACAUUAGCUGGAUUUUGGAAAAAGUGGAUUCCAACCCUCAGUGGACGACUUUGUGGAAUUCAAGACUCCAAUAGAGGAAGUCACCACAAAUAGCAAAAGAACAAGAAUUACCUGUGCAGCCUGAAGACGGGACUGAAUUGCUGCAAUUGUAACAUCAAAUGUUAAAUCUGAACCAGACCAUGUCCUGAAACAAAAGAGGAAGAAUCUUUGGGGAGCUGUGCUGAUGGUUUUGGAUUUCUCCAAAGGAAGAAUGCUUUGCCUGAGUCUUGUAUCCUUGGAAUUAUUAGGAAUGUUUGCCAUUAAAUAAGAUCUGAUUCAUGUGAGUUUGAGUUGACAGCUCUACCCUAUGUGUUAUCUCAGAACUCUAUACAGCAAACUAUAGAAUAUUGUUGAGAUAAAUUAAAUGAAACCUUUCCAAAUGGAAAGAUAUAUAUCAUUUUAUAGAUUGGAAAACUUAAUACUAAAAAGUGAUAGAUUCAAUACAAUGGAAUCUAUUGUUUCUAAAAUGUGCAUUUGUGUUAGUUUAUGUAUGUAUAUAAAAAUUGAAAAGCUAAUUUUAAAAAUACACAUGAAAAUAAAAGGGCCAAGAAGAACUGAGACAUUCUUGUGGAAGAUGUCAAUUCUUGCUGUACAGAUGCUAAGAUUACUAUAAGGCUUUAGUCAUUAAGGCAGAGUGGUAUUCCCUCAAAAAUUGACACACCACUGAAACAGAAUUGAAGGACAAAAAAGCCUCUACAUAAUUAUAGACACUUAAUUUAUGAUAACCAUGUCACUGAAGUUCACAUAGGACAGUUAUUUCAAUAAAUAUUAUUGAGACUGUGCAAGUAAAUAGAUAAAUUGGUAUAUAGGCAGACUCCUGUCCCACACAAUCCAUCAAAAUCAGCUCAUCUUAAAUGGGUUAUAAAAAGAUGUAUACAUUGCACUGACCAUAUUAUGAUUAGGAACUUCUAUUUGUUUAAAAAAUGUGAUUAUGAGAGUAAGAGCAAGCUACAGAUUGGCAGAAAACAUGUGCAUCUUAAUGAACAACAAAGGGCUCAUGCCGAGAAUAUAUAAAGAAAAACAAACCAUUCAGAAACAGACAUCCCUAUGAAAAAGUGGGCAAGAGAACUGAAGAGGCACUUCACAAAAGAAGAUAUCUAAAUGGCCAAUAACCAUAUGAAAAGGUACUGAACCCUUGUAGUAAUCAGAAAACAAUGCAUAUUAAAGCCAUAACACGGUAUUACUGCAUAACAUCAGAAUGGCUAAAAUGAAAAAGACUGACAAUACCAAGAGCUGGAAAAAAUGUGGAACAACUAGUACUCUCCAGUACUUAAUGUGGAAGCAUAAGUUUUUACAACUGCUCAUGAAAAUAAUUUGAUGUUAUCUACUAAUGUUGAAUAUCCUCAUACCCUAUGGCCUAGUAGUUCCACUCCUAGAUAUAAUCCCAAUAGAACAGUUUGUAUGCAUCAGAGUGUAUAUACAAGAAUGUGUACAGCAACAUUAGUUGGAAUAGCCCCAAACUGAAAACAAUGCAAAUGCCCGUAUAUAAUAGAAUUAAUGAAUUGUGAUAAUACAACAGAAUAUCACAGAGCAAUGAUAGUGAAUGUAUUACUGUUACCUGCAUGGAUGGAACUCACCAAAAUGAUGAAUGAAGAAACACACAGAAGAAUACAUACUGUAUGAUUCCAUUUAUAUAAAGUUCCAAAAUAGGUAAAACUAAAGUGUAUGGGGGUGAAUAAUUGCAUGGUAAUUUACAAAGAAAACCUAUGAGCCAAGUAAAGAGAAUGAGGGGAAGAAAAGGAGUCACAAUUCCCAAGAAGUGCUGGGGGAAAAGGGUGAGGGUCUAGGUUGACAAUGCUCUAUUUCUUGCUUGGAUGGUGGUUAUGUAAAUAUGCCCUAUAUAGUAAUUCAUUAAUCUGUACAUUCAUUUUUAAUGCAAUUUCUUUAUAAUAAUAUGCCACCAAUACUGUUUAAAAAUUUGUUUUUAAGUUUGUGAAGAGCCCAGACAGUAUAUCAGCAUCAUUUUCUCCAGCUAGAAAAACAUUUUGGAGAAAUUCUGCUUAAUAUAAAGCAGGAAUUCUCAAAGUUGUCACAACUGACAUUUGGGGCUGAAUAAGUCUUUGUUGUCAGGGGCUGUCCUAUACACUGCAGUAUGUUUAACAUCAGCCCAGUUAAGAACCACUAAGAUAAAGGAAUUGACCUUUGGAGACGUUGCUUUUUGUGCUCUGGUUACAUAUUUUUUAGAGUUGUUUUCAUGAAGUAUUAUUUUUCUUUUUUGGAGUUUUCUAUUGCUUUACUUUUAGCAUUCUGUUUCAGUUUUCUCUGGUAAUUUAUUAUAAAAUCCCCCGGGAUAAAUUUCUCUUUAAUUUAUUCUCUUGAUAUAUGAACGCAUGUGAAUGUAGAGAAGCAGUGAAAUUUCUCUUACAAUUAUUGUACAUUUUAUGUUGCAAAGUGUGGUAACAUUGUUUAAGUGUUAAGAUAUUUUAAAAUAGAAAGCAGUUAUAUUGUGAAUCAGCUGAUUUUACAGAGAAUCUAAUCCCAGGCAGAUUAUAAAGAAACCUCAGGGAUUUACCCACCACUAAUUCUGAUAAGAAGUCCAGAUCCAGGCAGGGCGCGGUGGCUCACGACUGUAAUCCCAGCACUUUGGGAGACCCAGGCAGGAGGAUCACCUGAGGUCGGCAGUUCAAGAUCAGCCUAGCUAACAUGGUGAAACCCUGUCUCUACUAAAUAUACAAAAUUAGCUGGGUGUGGUGGCACAUGCCUGUAAUCCCAGCUACUCAGGAGGCUAAGGCAGGAGAAUUGCAUGAACCCGGGAGGUGGAGGUUGCAGUGAGCCGGGAUGGCUCCACUGCACUCCAGCCUAGGCAACGGAGUGAGACUCUGUAUCAAAAAAAAAAAAAAAGAAAAAAAAUAAAUCCAGAUCCACAACAGACUCUCCCAUGCCAUUCCCUCCCCUAGCUUCCUCUCAUUCCCCAACCCCUAGCUUCAUACCUUCUUUUACUUCGACAUUAACAAAGACAGAGUUUGGCAGUCAUAACUCCACCAGUCAUUUCAAUUAUAGUUUUCAGUGAGCCACAUCAAGAACUAAAAUUAAAGGGUAAAAACCAUACUCAGCUGUGACAUUUUUAUUGCCUUAUUUUAAGUCAUUACCAGUAACUGGAAUCUGUAUACUUCACUGAACUUUCUAAAGCAAGUUCAUUUACAGCACAUUCAGUAUACAUUUUUGGGAAAAUGAGUAACCAAUUUUGCUAACUUUGUGCGUUUUAAUUGGUUGGCAAUUUCCAGACACAACUGCGGGACA